CCAUUAUCUUGUGAUCUCCAUGGGGACAAGAUGGCUGUCCUGUUCUCUGCUAAUUUCAGUGUCCUGCGUAGCACCUGGCACCUUAGAGAGACUUAGCAAAUAUUUGUUGAACAAAUGGAUGUGAACAAGCAGUGGGAGCAGGCUCUCUCACAGGGUACAGAAGGCGGUACCAGCCAAUAAUUAGCUGAUUAUCAGAUUCUGUGCCACAGGGUGCUAACCUCUGCUUGACAGAAACCGGCAGCCUCUGAGUUCAAGCCUCCCUCCCAUUGCACACACCUUUUGGUGUCUGCCUCACCGGUGAGGUCUGCUCAGGCCCGCCUAGCCUGGGAGCUGUACCAGUGAGUGGAAGCCUGCCCUGCAAAAAGUGCUAAUUAAUACUAAAUGUCACUACCAUCUCAUAGCUCUUGCCCUGUGUACACCUAUCGGAGCCAGGUGUCCCUUUGAUCACAAUCUCUAGCCCUGGGUUGAACCGCAAGAGAGUCAACAUCACCUGAGACAAAUGACAACACCCCCACUCCACCCCUCAUUCUAUGCGGUUGACCUGGAGAUGGUGGCUUUCCUGUUGUGCCCUCUAGAAGAAUGUCACACACCUACAACUCAGCGAGUUUCUGUAAGAUGGAGGCAGCAAGCCAGGAGCAAGGGAGGCAUAACCCCUGCAAUUGCCUGUGGGCUGAAGAUCAAUCAGCUUUGUCUUGUGAAUCAGAUUAUCUGGUUACCUGCUGCUGGAUUCUUUGUUUUCCCUUUUCUUAGCUCUAGGCCUUUAGGGAAGUCUUAUUUAAUUGUUCCAAGUCACUGCAGUGCUGAUGACUUCAGCUGUGCUUGUUCCUGAGCAUAAAGGGACAGAGAAAUCUCAGGGACAUGGCAGGGCUGGGAAGUCCCUUCCUUUUCUCAUGAAGAUGCUCCCUCCCACAAAGGAUAUACGUCUUAUUUUAUAAUGGGAGGUGGCUGGUUCUUUACAGCAUCUAAACUGGCUGAGGAAGGCCCCUGACUCCAGACCUCAGAUGGAGAUGACCCAAAGCCCCCAGGGGUGGGCUCUGGAGAGCUAGUCCCCAGAGCUUAGAGUUGUUCUGCUAGUCACAGACCCCUAUAGCCCUGGGUAAUCUAGGGGCCCUGCCAGAGGAAGGUCACCACCUGGCAAGCAAAAGGACCCCAACUGCCGACUCAGGAUCAGGAAUAUGGUCUACAAACUGCCUCCCACCCCAAGACCUCAAGGCUCAAAGCUACCCUUUCUUCCAUAGAAGAGUUCCU
rnacentral:lncRNA from 1 species